rnacentral:lncRNA from 1 species
CCUUAUGUUGAAGUUGAUUUUCCUCAUGCAGGCAAGGCUCCAAAUCUGUUGCCUUGAAAACAUUAUUUGAUUCUUCAUGGUUUAUCCUCUUGACCCAACUAAGAGAUGGUAUUUGGCUUGGGAAUACCCUGGGAUGGGAUGGCCAGUGCAGCAAUGACUACCCCAAUCUGACAAGCUCUCCAGGAAGGGCUAUCCGUGAGUCACACAAUUAGGUGGUGUCAGGAGACAACCUGGGCUUCCCAGGCCCGCAGCUCUGGACUGUGCUUCUCCCCAAGAUGUACACUCAGACGUGCGUUCAUGUGCACAGAAACUUCUGGUCGCGCUCUCUAGGAACGCUGGGCAGUGUUCUGCUGAGUCUUGACACCCUCCCCUGAGUGCAGAGGGUGCUGAGGACUGAAGGUGUUGGUAGGAGGGCCCUGAGCAGCACUAUACAUCUGUUUCAUAAUCUGUUGUUUUUCUGCUUAAUAUUCUAUUGUUACUAUCGUUCUGCGCCUCUAAGUAGUCUUCUAUAACAUUUCUUAAAGGUUGCAUAGCACUCUCUUGUAUGAAUGCAAAAUAGAUGAUUUAAUCAAUUCUUUUUAUUUUUUUCAGAUUGUGGUUGUUUCAAAGUUUUUGCUAUUAUAAUUGGCCCUACAGGGAACACACUUGGAGCUGAAUCUUUACUCACUUAAUUAUUACCUUGGAAUAAAUUACUACAACUAGAAUUGUUGGUUCAAAAGAGGCUCCCAGCUUCUCCUUAAUGACUGAUAAAAGCUCUGAGUGUACC